UACGGGGGGGGUAAGCGUUGUUCGGAAUUACUGGGCGUAAAGGGCUCGUAGGCGGCCAACUAAGUCAUACGUGAAAUCCCUCAGCUUAACUGGGGAACUGCGUGUGAUACUGGAUGGCUUGGAUUUGGGAGAGGGAUGCGGAAUUCCAGGUGUAGCGGUGAAAUGCGUAGAUACCUGGAGGAACACCGGUGGCGAAGGCGGCAUCCUGGACCAAUAUUGACGCUGAGGAGCGAAAGCCAGGGGAGCAAACGGG
rnacentral:rRNA from 1 species